rnacentral:rRNA from 1 species
UACGCAGGGGGCUAGCGUUGCUCGGAAUUACUGGGCGUAAAGGGCUCGUAGGCGGAUGGCAAAGUCGGAUGUGAAAGCCCCGGGCUCAACCUGGGAAUGGCAUUUGAUACUGUGAGGCUGGAGUACGGGAGAGGAGAGUGGAAUUCCCAGUGUAGAGGUGAAAUUCGUAGAUAUUGGGAAGAACACCGGUGGCGAAGGCGGCUCUCUGGACCGUAACUGACGCUGAGGCGCGAAAGCGUGGGGAGCAAACAGG